rnacentral:rRNA from 1 species
AUAAGGGCGCACGGAGGAUGCCUUGGCACUAGGAGUCGAAGAAGGACGCGACAAACGGCGAAACGCCUCGGGGAGCUGUAAGUGAGCAUUGAUCCGGGGGUAUCCGAAUGGGGAAACCCGCUAGUGGUUAUACGCUAGCACCAUAUGGUGAAUACAUAGCCAUAUAGGAGACAGACCCAGGGAACUGAAACAUCUAAGUACCUGGAGGAAAAGAAAGAAAAAUCGAUUCCCGUAGUAGCGGCGAGCGAAGUGGGAAGAGCCCAAACCGGAUUUAUCCGGGGUUGUAGGACCUUCAUAAUUGACAAAUCAUGAUAGCCGAAUGGUCUGGGAAGGCCAACCGUAGGGGGUGAGAGUCCCGUAGGUGAAAUUGUGAAAUGCAUGGAAGGAAUCCUGAGUACGGCGGGACACGUGGAAUCCCGUCGGAAUCAACGAGGACCAUCUCGUAAGGCUAAAUACUACCUAGUGACCGAUAGUGAACCAGUACCGUGAGGGAAAGGUGAAAAGAACCCCGGAAGGGGAGUGAAAGAGAACCUGAAACCGUGUGCCUACAAAUAGUCAGAGCCCGUUAAUGGGUGAUGGCGUGCCUUUUGUAGAAUGAACCGGCGAGUUACGAUAUCGUGCGAGGUUAAGCAGAAGAUGCGGAGCCGUAGCGAAAGCGAGUCUGAAUAGGGCGAAGAGUACGAUGUUGUAGACCCGAAACCGUGUGAGCUAGCCAUGAGCAGGCUGAAGGUCAGGUAACACUGACUGGAGGGCCGAACCAGGGCACGUUGAAAAGUGCUUGGAUGACUUGUGGCUAGGGGUGAAAUUCCAAUCGAACACGGAUAUAGCUGGUUCUCUCCGAAAUAGCUUUAGGGCUAGCCUCGAUGUUAAGUCUACUGGAGGUAGAGCACUGAAUGGGUGAUGGCCCCACCUCGGGGUACUGAUCUCAAUCAAACUCCGAAUGCCAGAUAGAUAUAAUCGGGAGUCAGACUGUGGGUGAUAAGGUCCAUGGUCAAAAGGGAAAGAGCCCAGACCGCCAGCUAAGGCCCCCAAGUGUCCGUUAAGUGGAAAAGGAUGUGGAGAUGCACAGACAACUAGGAGGUUGGCUUAGAAGCAGCCAUCCUUUAAAGAGUGCGUAAUAGCUCACUAGUCGAGUGACUCUGCGCCGAAAAUGUACCGGGGCUAAACGGACCGCCGAAGCUGCGGAUUGACUUUAGAGUCAGUGGUAGGAGAGCGUUCUAACAGCGGUGAAGCAGUACCGGAAGGAGCUGUGGAGCGGUUAGAAGUGAGAAUGCCGGUGUGAGUAGCGAAAGAUAGGUGAGAAUCCUAUCCAUCGAAAGCCUAAGGUUUCCAGGGGAAGGCUCGUCCGCCCUGGGUAAGUCGGGACCUAAGGUGAGGCCGAAAGGCGUAGCCGAUGGACAACAGGUUGAUAUUCCUGUACCACUUAUUAAACUGAUGGAGUGACGGAGAAGGCUAAGUUGAGCGUGUGAUUGGAUUCACGUGUAAGCAGUGAGGUGGUCAUGUAGGCAAAUCCGCAUGGCAUAACAUUGAGCUGUGAUGCCGAAGCCGAAUGGCGAAGUCAACUGACGUCACGCUUCCAAGAAAAGCUUCUAGGGUUAAUUUAAUAAGUGCCCGUACCGAUAACCGACACAGGUAGGCGAGGAGAGAAUCCUAAGAUGAGCGAGAGAACUCUUGUUAAGGAACUCGGCAAAAUGACCCCGUAACUUCGGGAGAAGGGGUGCUUGUGAAAGCAAGCCGCAGUGAAUAGGCCCAGGCGACUGUUUAUCAAAAACACAGGUCUCUGCUAAACCGCAAGGUGAUGUAUAGGGGCUGACGCCUGCCCGGUGCUGGAAGGUUAAGAGGAGAGGUUAGCGCAAGCGAAGCUUUGAAUUGAAGCCCCAGUAAACGGCGGCCGUAACUAUAACGGU